UGAUUGUUAGUUAAGGUUAUUUUGUAAAGUAAUUUUUGAUGAUUUUAAUGUUUAAGGACUAAAUUGUUAAAGUGAUAAACUUUCAAGGACUUGUGAACUAAUCACAAAUAUAGGCUAAAUUGGGGGGUUGUUGACAAUCAGCUAGGAUGGGUUUUGAAUAAAUUGGUUUAAUUGUGAAUUUUGGGCAUAUGGACUAAAUUGAAUAAAAGUGAAAUGUUUAGGGUAAAUUUAUAAAAAUGUCAAAAAAGCCUUAAUUACAUAAAAUGACUUAAUUUUGUUAUUGAUUUAGUUAAUUGAAUGAAGCUAUUAUUUUAGAUCAAGAACAUGUUGACGAUAAUUUCAGAUCGGGAUCCUCGAUUUACAUCGAGAUUUUGGAAGACAUGUUGAGAGCUAUCGAUUGGCUAGGAACUCGACUCAAUUUUAGUAUUGCAUUUCAUCCACAAACUAACGGACAAUCCGAGCGGGUAAUUCAGAUUUUGGAAGACAUGUUGAGAGCUUGUAUCAUUGAUUUUGAAUCAGGUUGGGAACAUUACUUACUAUUGGCCGAGCUUGUUUAUAAUAAUAGUUUCCAAUCUAGUAUUCAGAUGGCUCCUUAUGAAGCUUUAUAUGGUUGAAAGUGUCGAUCGCUUGUAUGUUGGAUAGAAUUGAAUGAAAGAAAAGCGAUUGGGCUUGAAUUAAUUAAAGAAACAGAGGAAACAGUUAAGAAGAUUAGAGAUGGGUUGAAGGCAGCCUUCGAUAGACAAAAAUCUUAUUCGAAUUUGAAACGACGAGAUAUAGGAUAUUCCGCUGGUGAUAAAGUAUUUCUGAAGGUGUCACCUUGGAAGAAAGUCUUGAGAUUUGGCCGGAAAGGUAAAUUGAGUCCACGUUUUAUUGGGCCGUAUAAAAUAGUGGAAAGAAUCAGACCGGUUGGCUAUCGAUUGGCUUUACCUCCAGAAUUACAGAAGAUUCAGGAUGUUUUUCAUGUUUCGAUGCUUCGGAGAUAUAGAUCAGAUCCUUUUCAUGUUAUUCCUACUGAAAACAUUGAAAUUUGAUCUGAUUUGACUUAUGAAGAAAAGCCAGUUCAAAUGUUGGCUCGAAAAGUAAAAGAGUUGAGAAAUAAACGGGUUCCUCUAGUGAAAGUGCUAUGGAGAAAUCAUAAUGUGGAAGAAGCAACUUGGGAACCAGAAGAAACUAUAAGAGCGCAAUAUCCUCAUCUCUUCUCAGCUAACAAGGAACUCGAGGCAUCGACAGACAAAGGAAAGGAGAAGGUUAUUGAGGAAUAAUCGAGCAAAUUCAGGUUGAAAGGAGUUCAGAGUCUCGGUUCAGCAUCCAGAACAAUCCCGACUUCGGCAUAAAGAUUUUGGUGAUGUUUUCUUCUAUUAAGUGAAAGUGGCAUGUACAUAGGGAUUAUAAUGGUUAUUUUGGUAUGUUAUAUAUUUUGUUGGAAAGAAAGGUAUUUGGUGUUUUGAUGAUUAAAUUAGUUAAAUGAUAUAAUUGUUUAUGGCAUUGGUAUUGAAUAGA